UACGGGGGGGGCAAGCGUUGUUCGGAAUUACUGGGCGUAAAGGGCUCGUAGGCGGCCAACUAAGUCAGACGUGAAAUCCCUCGGCUUAAUCGGGGAACUGCGUCUGAUACUGGAUGGCUUGAGUUUGGGAGAGGGAUGCGGAAUUCCAGGUGUAGCGGUGAAAUGCGUAGAUAUCUGGAGGAACACCGGUGGCGAAGGCGGCAUCCUGGACCAACACUGACGCUGAGGCGCGAAAGCUAGGGGAGCAAAGCGGG
rnacentral:rRNA from 1 species